rnacentral:rRNA from 1 species
UACGUAGGGUGCAAGCGUUAAUCGGAAUUACUGGGCGUAAAGCGUGCGCAGGCGGCUUUGCAAGACAGAUGUGAAAUCCCCGGGCUCAACCUGGGAACUGCAUUUGUGACUGCAUGGCUGGAGUGCGGCAGAGGGGGAUGGAAUUCCGCGUGUAGCAGUGAAAUGCGUAGAGAUGCGGAGGAACACCGAUGGCGAAGGCAGCCCCCUGGGCUAGCACUGACGCUCAGGCACGAAAGCGUGGGGAGCAAACAGG